rnacentral:rRNA from 1 species
AACCCGACUCCAUGAAGCUGGAUUCGCUAGUAAUCGCGCAUCAGCCACGGCGCGGUGAAUACGUUCCCGGGCCUUGUACACACCGCCCGUCAAGCCAUGGAAGCCCGGGGGGUGCCUGAAGUGCGCUGCCGCAAGGAGCGCCCUAGGGUAAAACCGGUGACUGGGGCUAAGUCGUAACAAGGUAGC